rnacentral:tRNA from 1 species
GGGGCUGGGGCUCAGAGGCAGAGCGCUCGCCUCACAAGCGUGAGGCCCUGGGUUCGAUCCUCAGCACCA